rnacentral:ncRNA from 1 species
CCGGACACCGUGAGGAUUGACAGAUUGAAAGCUCUUUCUCGAUUUGGUGGUUAGUGGUGCAUAGCCGUUCUUAGUUGGUGGAGCGACGUCUUUGUCUUCCUUAGAGCCGAUGAUUCGAGCCAAUGGUCCACAGUUGUUCGUCUUCGAUAAGACGAAGGCUGAGAGGCCACAUCGAGAUGACGAACGACUGUGGACCAUCGACUCGGAUCAUCGGCUCUGAGGAAGAUGAAGACGUCGAAACGUUAGCAGAAUAUGUGGUAACAACCUCGUGUUAGCUUAUCAAUGGAACAAGGUACCAAAGUUUGCGCUGAAGCUUUAAAAAACUAAAUUCGCUCUCAAGACAACGUACAAAAAUGAGUUAAGAACCGGUCUUCUGUGCCAGCUUGAUG